rnacentral:rRNA from 1 species
UUGGGCGUAAGAGCUCGUAGGCGGUCUGUCGCGUCUGCUGUGAAAACCCGAGGCUCAACCUCGGGCCUGCAGUGGGUACGGGCAGACUAGAGUGCGGUAGGGGAGAUUGGAAUUCCUGGUGUAGCGGUGGAAUGCGCAGAUAUCAGGAGGAACACCGAUGGCGAAGGCAGAUCUCUGGGCCGUAACUGACGCUGAGGAGCGAAAGGGUGGGGAGCAAACAGGCUUAGAUACCCUGGUAGUCCACCCCGUAAACGUUGGGAACUAGUUGUGGGGUCCAUUCCACGGAUUCCGUGACGCAGCUAACGCAUUAAGUUCCCCGCCUGGGGAGUACGGCCGCAAGGCUAAAACUCAAAGGAAUUGACGGGGACCCGCACAAGCGGCGGAGCAUGCGGAUUAAUUCGAUGCAACGCGAAGAACCUUACCAAGGCUUGACAUAUAGAGGAAACGUCUGGAAACAGUCGCCCCGCAAGGUCUCUAUACAGGUGGUGCAUGGUUGUCGUCAGCUCGUGUCGUGAGAUGUUGGGUUAAGUCCCGCAACGAGCGCAACCCUCGUUCUAUGUUGCCAGCACGUAAUGGUGGGAACUCAUGGGAUACUGCCGGGGUCAACUCGGAGGAAGGUGGGGAUGACGU